GUAGCAAUGACCUACAGUUAAAAAUAUACUGAUUUUCCCUAGGAUAAUCAAUAAAUUUAAGACAAUCCUCAUAAAAAUUACCCCCCCAAAAUAUCAGUAUAUUUUAAACUGUAGGUCAUUGCUAUUUUAAAAGAAACCUAUUUUGUUUGUUCAAGUGUUUAUAAGUGUUCUUUUGUUUCUUUCAAUAACGUUUAAAAGUGUCCUUCUUAUUCCUCGCAGAUGAAAAAAGUCUAUUAUUCUUGUGUUUUAUUCUUUUCAUGUUAUACUAAAUGAUUUUUUACCAUUCAGUUAAUCUAAUUCUAAUUGAAGAAGGUGUAUUAGAAACACUUAAUUUUUUUGGUAAUUUUGGAUUUUUACUUCUUUUAUGAUUUUUAGGUAAAUAUCAUCCUUAAAAACUAGAUGUAGUGCCCACUCCAUCCAGAACAAUGCUAAACAGUAUUGAUGAUGAAGACAUUCUUGGACGGUGCCUGUCUUUAGUUCUGCAUCUUGAAUGUUCUACAAAAGCCCAUGUGUUAGAAGCUGGGUCCCCAGCCCAUCAAUCUGUUGGGAGGUGCUGGCACCUGUUCUAGUGGAGCCUCAUGCUCCUGAAGGGGAUAUUGGGACCCUGGCCCCUUCCCAGCCACCAUAAGGUGAACAACUUGCUUCAAAGAUGUGCUUCUUCCAUGAUGCGUUGUCCCAGGAUAGGCUCAUAAAGCAAUGGGCCUGCCCAAUCAUGGACUGAAAUCUCCCAAACUACAAGCUGGAGGAAACUUUUUCUCUUUUUAAGUCAAUUACCUCAAGUAUUUUGUUAUGGUAGUGGAAAUCAGACCAAUAUAAUCUUCUAUUUUCUGUUUUCUAACAAUAAUUUAGAAGUUUUAAUUUCUAUUUAGUGAUUGUUUUGAUAACUAUAACAUUAUAUGAUACACUUAUCUAUUCCUCAAGUGUAUUUAUCAACUCUCUACCAUAAACUUGAAGUUUAACAUCUGUCUCUUACAUACUUCCUCCUGUCAACCAAUUUAAUUUUUAAUGAUUAUAUUUAUAUCUCCAAGUACAUGCAAUAGUUUUAAAAUUGAUAUAUCAGGUUUAAAUUGUCUCAUGUCACUGCCAUUAUUAAAAAAUUUUAAAAGAAGAUGUAAGCAUAAUUAUAUUGCUUCUUAUUUUUCUUCCUAUCUCAGUUUUUAGAAAUUGUAUAAUUUUACAUUACCAGGGAUUAAAAUUGUAAAAGUCAGUUCUUUAUUCUGUAAUUCUCCUAUUUGUUUUGUUUUGUCUUCACAUCUAACCCCAGCCCUUUAAAAUUUUGUUGUUGUUGUUGUUACUUUGCAUUUGGAGACAAGGUUUUACCAAGUUGCCAAGAUUUCCAGGCUAAGCUGGAAUUUUCAGUCUUUCUGCCUCAGCCUCCUACAAUGCUGUGAUUACAGACAUACACCACCAUACUCAGUUUGUAAUUCUCACCUCUGUUCAUUUUACUUGGAUUGUGGUAGGGCCCCUUCCAAGGUGUGGGUAGGAACUUUUUACAAUGUAGCGAUAUCAGCCUCAGUGUACCCAUGUGUACUUAGGGUAUAACUCCGUAACAUAAAUCAUACCCAGCCACACUGUAGUAACUUAGGGUGCGACUAUGCCGUGUUCCACACUCAUCCUUUGGCUACAACUUGUAUCCACUGUCAGGCCGG
ensembl:lncRNA